CUUCACUCAUUGAAAGAAUAUUUACCGAAUACUCCUAUGCUGGCACAAGGGACUCAGCGGUGACUUCAUGGAAUUUAUAGUCGCAUAGAAGAAGCAGUUAUACAACAGGCACAGCUUCAGAUUCUUUCUGUCAAUAGCACUUCAGCAUCUCCUCAUUAUCAAGAUGGAACACGAGGAAGCUCCCAUCUCCUCUCAGAAAUUUGGCAUAUGCUACAGAGGCCUCAUGCAGGAAAACAAUUGAACUUUACUUACCCAGAGAGAAAGAUCCGGAUGACUGCAUAAAAUAUGUCUGGAUCAACAUAAUCUGGAGAAGCAAUCAAAAUGUGAACUUUACUACAGGCAAAGAAAGCAAUUGGUUACAUGUGCUUGGGUCCUGCUGCUCUCCUGGGGCCAUCUCCUCUAUCUGAUCUUUGUGGAAACCUGGAAGGAAGGCCAUAGCAGGAGGGGGAUGGAAUGUUCUCUUCUGUGGCCCCUCACUGGCACUUACAGAAUAUUAAACUGUUCCAAAUGCUCCUCUCUUCUAUUUGUGGCACUUCCCUUUCCUGAACUUCAUAACAACAGAAGGAGUGGUCAAGGUCAUUUUUAAAAAUUAAUCUUUUAAACAGACAUGAUAUUUGAAAGAACGCAGGAAGUAGUAAGAAGAAACAUGGAGAAAAAGAGUCACCUUUCUCAAGGCUUUCACAAGAGAGGAAAACUAAAGUCAUCAAUGCUCAAGCAAAGUUCCGUACAUGCAACGAAGGACAGAGGAGGCGAGAGUGUCUCACGCAGGGGUUGCCACACCAGGGCCUGCAUGGGUUGUACAGCUCCCUUUGUAGCUGCAUCCAUAGUCUAAUCAGCUAGUUUUGCCUCUAAGCCAAUGCGUGGGGGUAAUGGAUUCCACUAGUUUAUUAAUUUACAUUUAAAGAAACGUGUCCUUACAUUUGCACUACAUUUCUUUUCAUUAACUUUUGAAGAUUGUUCCUUCUUCUUCACGUAACGCGGCCCCUCUGUGACCUGGCAUGUUUCUAUUACCUGGAUUCCUGUCUAUGUUUCCUUGUUUCUCUUUGAGAACAAAACAAAACAAAACAAAAAACAGGGGUGCCUCAGUGGCUCAGUCAGUUAAGUGUUUGCCUUUGGCUCAGGUCAUGAUG